GCACAACCCAUUUACAGAGCUCGAAGAUGAGGACGUAUUAGGAUAUGUCCGAGCUGGACAUGCAUCACCUCAAGCUUCUUGUUCAAGCUUAAAUACCUCACUGGAAACCAGUGCCAUCACCUAUGCUCCCUAUGCUGCUGCCACAUCUAGCAGAAGGAUUUCACUGGAUACUGCGAGCACCUCCACUCCUGUGACCCCUACCAGAGGGAUUAUAUUGGUAAGAACUAUCAGGAGGGCUACUGUUUCAUCUCAGACCACAGAGGGAAUGUGCGGCAUGCUUAUAUCAACAGUAACAUAGAAUCUCUCUGUGCCACUACAGUUGGGGAUACAUUCAAACCAUAUAGUUCUUCUUGUCAUUGGAGGAUAUACCAAUCUGUCUUGAGACAUGGCCACUACCUCGAAAUUAAUAACUAAGUGCAGUUAAAUACAACAUAUUGCACACAAUAAAAGAGAAAGGGAGAGCAAGAUGUACCCUGAACACUAAAGGGUUUAUUGUGCCCUUUACGUUUUAGAAGAAAAAUCUUUCAUCACGAGGGUAUG